rnacentral:rRNA from 1 species
UACGUAGGUGGCAAGCGUUGUUCGGAAUUAUUGGGCGUAAAGAGCUCGUAGGCGGUUUGUCGCGUCGGCCGUGAAAACUUGGGGCUUAACCCCAAGCCUGCGGUCGAUACGGGCAGACUUGAGUUCGGCAGGGGAGACUGGAAUUCCUGGUGUAGCGGUGAAAUGCGCAGAUAUCAGGAGGAACACCGGUGGCGAAGGCGGGUCUCUGGGCCGAUACUGACGCUGAGGAGCGAAAGCGUGGGGAGCGAACAGG